CUGUACCUUUUGUAUAAUGGUUUAGUUAGUGUUAUGGUUUUAGGUAGCGCCAAACCCGAAGUUGGGCGAGCUAAUGUAGCCCAGCUUGUGAGGAGUAGAACUGUUACUGUUGCAGAAGUAAGGUUUGAGGUUAUAUUAGGUGUGAAAUGCUAGUCGCGCCCAAGGAUAGCUGGUUUCCUCGGAAAGAGGUGUGAGCUGUGUUUUCGAAUUUGUUAGGGAGUUGUUGUCGGCAUGAGAAUCGGAGGCUUCUUGGCAAUUUUUGGGAAAGGAAGACAAAUGGGGAUAAGCUCGUUUGUUGAGAGGGAAAAGCUUUGUUUAUAAAUUAAGGAUAUUAGGCUAACGUUGAGUAACUUACUGAUUUAGUAGGAUUAAUAACAUCCAUCUAUUUGGAUUACGUUAAAGUUUGUUUUGUUUGUUGCUUAGUGGAUAAUUGGCGGGAAGAUUUCUUAGGUUGUAAUUCGUUUACGAGGAGUUUUCAUGUGUUGAAAGUUAUUUUGCUAAUAUUAGUAAAGGAUAAAAGACUUUUUGUGGCUUAAACAAUCCUAACAUUGGAUGGAGGGGCUAACGAUGAUACGAGAAAACGUAGCCCAGUUUUUGUCUUCUGACGCAAGAGGUCUUUAUUAAUUAUGAAGGCAAGGAAAAGGAACUCGGCAAGUUUUUAUUUCGCCUGUUUACCAAAAACAUCGCCCCUCGAAAAGUUGAGGCUAAUAUGUGAGGGGUCCUGCCUGCCCGGUGACUUAGUUAAACGGCCGCGGUAUCUUGACCGUGCAAAGGUAGCAUAAUCAUUUGCCUUUUAAAUGGAGGCUGGUAUGAAUGGCAAGACGGGAAUUAGACUGUCUCUUUCUUGUUUCUCUAAUUUAAUUUCUCCGUGAAGAAGCGGAGAUAUAGUCGUGGGACGAGAAGACCCUGUCGAGCUUUAAUAGACCCAGGCAGGCGGUUGGCGGUCAAAUUUACUGCUAAUCUGCCUAUUGUAGGAUAUUAGUUUUACGAAGUAGGGACGCGUUUUUGUGGUGGGCUGUUUUGGUUGGGGCACGCGAGA
rnacentral:rRNA from 1 species